UCACCACCGUGGAUCUUG
rnacentral:snRNA from 1 species